UGUUAAUGUACUGACGAGGGACCCACUGAGGUCCGAAAACGUUUUACGUAAUAAAUUAGAUACUUGCAGACAGAGCUGUUUAUGAACUUUACUGUUUAUAAGUACAAUGAUACAAUGCAAAAAAUAAAUUAAAAUAAUGCAUGAAAUGCUAUAAUUCAUACCAAAAUAUAUCAGAUCAGUUUGCAUAUCUGAGUAUCAGCAUGCAAUUCAUGGUUGAUGCAUGCAAAUUAACAUCAUUUUCCAAAAUUAAACAAUUUGUUUUAUUUAUCUCACAACAAGUUAAAAAAAUAGCUUUAAUAUUAAAUUAUAAUAGGAAAAAAUUUCUUAUUCCACAGAUUAACUUUUGCAUAACUG
rnacentral:lncRNA from 1 species